rnacentral:tRNA from 1 species
GGGCUUGUGGUCUAGUGGCUAUGACGUUGCCUUGACGUGGCAAAGGUCCCCGGUUCGAUUCCGGGCAGGCCCA